AUUGAACGCUGGCGGCAUGCCUUACACAUGCAAGUCGAACGGCAGCAUAGGAGCUUGCUCCUGGUGGCGAGUGGCGAACGGGUGAGUAAUAUAUCGGAACGUGCCCUAGAGUGGGGGAUAACUAGUCGAAAGACUAGCUAAUACCGCAUACGAUCUACGGACGAAAGUGGGGGAUGGCAAGACCUCAUGCUCCUGGAGCGGCCGAUAUCUGAUUAGCUAGUUGGUGGGGUAAAAGCUCACCAAGGCGACGAUCAGUAGCUGGUCUGAGAGGACGACCAGCCACACUGGGACUGAGACACGGCCCAGACUCCUACGGGAGGCAGCAGUGGGGAAUUUUGGACAAUGGGGGCAACCCUGAUCCAGCAAUGCCGCGUGAGUGAAGAAGGCCUUCGGGUUGUAAAGCUCUUUUGUCAGGGAAGAAACGGUUCUGGAUAAUACCUGGGACUAAUGACGGUACCUGAAGAAUAAGCACCGGCUAACUACGUGCCAGCAGCCGCCGUAA
rnacentral:rRNA from 1 species